CAUAGAGGGUUGUGGGCAUGGAGUUCCCGUUGUCUCCCACGGAAGGUGUGACAAGGAAAGAGUUAACUCAGUUCUGGGCUCUGCCUGCUUCUGUGGCCUGGUUUGGCCUUUCCUUCCUUUUCUAGGCCCCCUUCUCUCCCCUGGCUCUCACACACUCUUUGCAGCUGCCUCCCAAACCAGUCCUGCAGUCUGAUGAAAGUUCCAGAGCAGGUGGACACAGAUGAACACUCUGGUCACAGGGACACCCAGGGACAUCAGGAUAGUUCUACGACCACCACACUAUAAGAGACACUGUCCACCAUAGUUUUUGAGACGAAGUCUGUCACUGAGACCUAAGGGUCACCAACUUGACUGGACCGGCGAGCAGUCAGUUCUAGGAAGCCUCCCUGUCUCUGCCUCCUCGGCGCUGGGAUUACAAGUGUGGCGCCACGCCCAGCUUUUUACACAGGUCUUGGGGACUGAACCCAGGCCCAACCAUCUCCAUCCUUAUGUGGCGAG